CACUCCUCAGAUGGCUGCUAGAGGUGCUGCCUGGGGCAGUGCUGCACAGUGAGCAGCACUGAUAUUCAGUGUCUUCACCCUCUGUAUGCCGACACUGAACUUUCCUCACAGAGAUGCAUUGAUUUAAUUGAUCUCUAUGAAGAGAUGCUGAUUGACCAGGGUUCUGUUUGACUUAUGCUGGCUCUGUACCUGAUCUGCCUCCUUGACAGUCUCAGCCAAGCCCAUGGUGAAGCAUUGUGAUUGGCUUAGACCACCACUUCUGAUGAUGUCAGCAGAUAGCAUGCAGUUUCAGAGGCAGACAGGGGCAGA